AUUGUAAUAAAAUAAAAUAAAAUUUUGUUUUAGGUAUUUAAUGUAAUAUGUACUUAUUUCAUAUGAAUCAUGUACACUCACUUAAUCAUAUUACUUGAACGGACUAAACAUUUAUCCUAUACUAAAAGGUGAAUAUGGAGUGUUUCUAGCCUGUCCACGUAGGCUAAUAUAUUUGACCAAUCAAACACAAGUUUUAUGACAUGUCAUUAGGUCAACACAUUAACAUUCGGCAAAAUCGAUUCCUUUCUCUUUCUUCUCAGUUUUUCUGCAAAAUCUAUUCUCAACUUUUGAUUUUCUAUUCAAAAGUCAGCUCAUUGAUUCCUCUUCCUUUCUUCUCUCCUUCUCUACAAAACCUUUACCAUACCCAAAAGUCACUUUUUUAAAAAACUUUAGGCAUGUGAACUCUUAUUAUGUAGUCGACUUUUGUGUGGUUCUCUUAGAAAUCCUAUUUCUGGAUUUAUGAUUUUGGAAAUUGGAAUUUUGUUUUUCGUAGUUGUAAGAUGGCGAACACAUGAGAAAUGGGUUAUAGGCGUUUCAGACAAAAAAAAAAGAAACAAGAGAAGGAGAAUCACGAUAAGUUACAAAGAGAUCUACAUCUCCUUAUUUCCCAUGUUCUCCUUUAAUACCCUUUGAGCUUCAUAAUUCCUCUGUCAGGACAGAGACAAGAAAACAAAACAGGGUUAUGCAGAUAAACGAAGGAAACAUCUUGAGUUUACUACAACCAACCGCAAAUGAACAUUACUGGUCACAUCGAUCUCGGUAGAGUUCUGAGAGGCCGUCGCCGCGAGGUCAUGGGGAAGACGAGGUGCGAGGAGUGGAAGCUUCGAAGAUUACCACGGCGGAUUCGUUCGGUGCUAUUGUUUUGGGUGGUACCUUUGAUCGAUUGCACGAUGGGCAUCAAUCACGAUCUCUUCAUCCGAUCUGAAAUCAAUCCACCGUGUCUCACCUGCCAUCAUUGCGUGAAGACAGAGUCGUUGCCGUGACGUUCGAUAUUCACUUCACCACUUCUGGUCUAUCAAGGCGUGAUGGUUUAGGAGUGCAUUUCAAUCAACUUAAUUAUGCUUCUGCUCCUUACCUCUGUUGCCAGAACUGUAAAGAAAUGCUUCUGCGAGAGAUCGAGUCUUCUGCGUUUUCAGGGGCAAGCAACAACAGAUCAGCUAUAGUCCUCCUGAUCCAGUCAAGCUUUUAUCCACUUCCCUCUACAAACGGUUUCUCAGCUCUCUUAAUUUAGAUGGAUAGGAGAAGGUAGAGCCAUAAAGGAAACGAAUGGAUCAAGCAUAGGAGUUAAGGCACCCGUAGUAGAAGGAAUUGUUUUGUCUGAGUUUCUUGAUCUGGAAGUACAAUGGUCUGCAAGAGAAGAAACACUGAUGGACUAUCAGUGCAUAAUAAAACACUCUGAAUCUAGGAUGAAUCACUGUCUGGAUGACAUGAGAAUCUUAGUUUAUUUUCGAGACGAGAUGUGCAGGAUAGUGUUUCUUUAAUCUAUAAACAUUAAUCUAUGAAUGAGAUGAUAUCAUAUAUAUAAUCAAUGGUUUAGUUUGUUUGCUUUGAGUUUUGUUUUUACAUCUCCUAAUACUAGACUCAAACAAGCUUUGUUGGUAGGGUGGUGAGGACCAUCCAUAUGAUGAGGGGCUGCUAAUCUCUCUCUGGACUCAAACCCAAUUGUAAACAACAUUGGUCCAGAUAACACCAACAGGUGUGAUGCUGCUGCAACCAUCGAAGGCUGUUCAGAAGUGUCCAAACCGAUUCCUCCGCAAACUGUUCCGCUGGUCAACACGAAGAAACUAUAAAGGAUCUUGAUCACUCCAACUAUGGAGACAAGGUCCAGAUCUUAAGAAACUAUAAAAGAUCCUGAUCACUCCAACUAUGGAGACAAUGAAGCUGGCCAAAAGUUUCCCAAUUCCAUUUCCAGUUCCCAAGUAUUUACAAUUUACUGAAUAAGUCAUUGUCUUUCAACUUCUUAAUUAAUCAGUUCUGGUUUCGUUUGUUCAAGUACAAUUGGUACACAUGGUAAUUUUAGUAUUUAUGUUGAUAUAAAACUUUUUUGUUAACCAGAA